CAUUGCACAAUGGGGUCAACCCUGAUGCAGCGACGCCGCGUGAAGGAAGAAGUAUCUCGGUAUGGAAACUUCUAUCAGCAGGGAAGAAAACGACGGUACCUGACUAAUAAGCCCCGGCUACCUACGCGCCAGCAGCCGCGGCAAUACGUAGGGGGCAAGCGUUAUCCGGAUUUACUGGGUGUAAAGGGAGCGUAGACGGAAGAGCAAGUCUGAUGUGAAAGGCUGGGGCUUAACCCCAGGACUGCAUUGGAAACUGUUGUUCUAGAGUGCCGGAGAGGUAAGCGGAAUUCCUAGUGUAGCGGUGAAAUGCGUAGAUAUUAGGAGGAACACCAGUGGCGAAGGCGGCUUACUGGACGGUAACUGACGUUGAGGCUCGAAAGCGUGGGGAGCAAACAG
rnacentral:rRNA from 1 species